rnacentral:lncRNA from 1 species
UCACUCUUCCUCUCUUCCCAAGAGGACACUUACUCUCUGAUUUUGUUUAAAGUCUCCAGAGGGCAGAAUCCUAAAGACCUAAAAGGGAGAUCAUCUCAGGCAACAUUGUGCCUCGUGAUUGCCGGCACCUCCCUGAGCCACCUCAACUACACAUUUCUUUACGUGGGCUCUCAUAUGGAUGCCCUGCAGGAUCAGGACACUCUGAACACUUUCCGGAAAUACCUCAUUGGAUGUGCUUCUGGAAUCAAUAUCCCAUCUUGUGGGGACCAACAGAACCCUCUCCAAGUAUGACAAGUGCCGGACAGCAUCCAACAAUCACUAAGAGGAUACCAAUUCUGCUCAUCAGACGUGAUUCAUUCUACCACUUACAACCUGAAAACGGUGGGCGAGAGGAAGUCUUACUGGGUCGGUUUCAUGAUCAAGACUACUAACAAUGAGCAUAUGGAGAGAUGAAGGAUGGGUGACCCCACCAUGGCGUCGGGUAGGCAGCUUUGGGCCUGCAGAUCUCCUGCCGCAUCCCCAGAAUCUAGAGGAGUGACUGUUAAUCUGGAGACAGUGAAUGGGCUCCAGUGGAUCUGUAAUCCAUUGAACGAAUCAAUGAAUGGACUGCUAUAAUUAUUUGCAAAAUUGUGUGUAUGUACUUUUCUUUUUUUACUGGAAAAAGGGAUUGUGUUUCCAUCAUUUUCUCAGAGGACUCCAUGGUCCCCUACUGUUUAAGAGCCAGUGCUCAGGCUUACUUAAAUUGUUUUAGAUUCGGCCAGCGUAAUCUUA